AUCUGAUUUUUAGCAUGAAGCAGGUAUCCUUUCAAGAGAAGUAGAUGUCCCUUCCCAGGGUUUGACCUUGGAGUUCUGCAAAUCAAAGUAUCCAGGUUAAUAUCAAGACCUCACAGUGAGUUUAUCAGGGAUAGUGUGGGACACUGCUGGUAUGGGGGUAAGUGAUCCUGUGGGUUGAAACCACAGCAUAUGCCAUCUGGCCUUCAGGUACCUAGGUAAGUGAUGAGCGUCCUUACAUUCCUCGUUACCAUGAAUUUUUUUUUGAAGGUGUGAGGUAAGGAAUGAUGGAGUCCUCACCAGCUCCAGAGACCGUAUUUCUCCACUUUUCUAUAUUUCUGGAAAUGUUCAUUUUUAACCCUAUGAGUGUUGAGGGACUGCAUGUACACAGGUCUUUAUUAUGAUACUCCCUGUGAUAGUAUUCUCCAUAGGAUACUUAGAGGUGACCAAUCAUAGUAUGACCGUUUUAUCUGUAUUAACUUUGGAUUAUUUUAAGUAAUCCUGUAGAGCUGAUGUGUCUCGUAAUGAUGAAGUGAAUGUUAUUUGUAGGCUUCCUGAUAGGAAAAAGUUAUGUCCUUUAAACACACAUUCACAGCGUCUUUCCAGUUAAGAAGUCAUGGUAAACCUAACACUGCUCAUCACCAGGAAUGUUCCUGGUGUGCAGGUAAGUGAUGAUGUGGGCCUUGCCCAGGCCUUCUGCUCUCCAUAUAGCUGGCUAGGUGAUUACAUUUGUAAUCAGUUGUUACCAUUUUUCUUUGAAGGUAUUCAGGUAGGAAAUGAUAGUCCUUAUCAGUUCUAGAAACCAUGUGCUUUUUUUUUCUUUUUACAUUUUAGAGAAACUUUUAUGUUAUCCCAGUGAGUAAUGAGAGAUUGCCACAUUCAGGUAAUUACCAUAAUCUUCUUAACCCUAGCAGUAGCCAUGGAAAUUCUGCAGGUGUCUCAUAAUGAAAUGUCAUAUCUGAUAAUAGUCUUGACCUUGGAGUACUGUAGAUAUUCAGAUGGAGCUGAUGUUCUCAUAAGGCAGUUAAUUUGAGGUGUCUUGCUACAGGUUCUAUUUUUUUACACAUAUAUCGUGUGCUUUUCAGAUUCCUGUCAAGAGAUCAAGGUGAAAUUAAUGGUUAACGGGGGACAUUGCUGGUAUCCAGAUGAGCGAUGUUGUUUAUCUUCACACAUGAGACCAACUGACAUUCACAUACCUAGUUAAGUGAUAAUGAAGGACUAAACUUGCUCUACUAUGUGAUUUAGUUCAGCUUUUCAGGAGACACUUGUGGGCCUGCACAUAAUGACGAUGGAAUUGUAAACUGCUGA